GACGAACGCUGGCGGCGUGCCUAAUACAUGCAAGUAGAACGCUGAAGGCGGAGCUUGCUUCUCUGGAUGAGUUGCGAACGGGUGAGUAACGCGUAGGUAACCUGCCUGGUAGCGGGGGAUAACUAUUGGAAACGAUAGCUAAUACCGCAUAAGAGUAGAUGUUGCAUGACAUUUGCUUAAAAGGUGCAAUUGCAUCACUACCAGAUGGACCUGCGUUGUAUUAGCUAGUUGGUGGGGUAACGGCUCACCAAGGCGACGAUACAUAGCCGACCUGAGAGGGUGGUCGGCCACACUGGGACUGAGACACGGCCCAGACUCCUACAGGAGGCAGCAGUAGGGAAUCGGCGGCAAUGGGCGGAAGUCUGAGCGAGCAACGCCGCGUGAGUGAAGAAGGUUGUCGGAUCGUAAAGCUCUGUUGUAAGAGAAGAACGAGUGUGAGAGUGGAAAGUUCACACUGUGACGGUAUCUUACCAGAAAGGGACGGCUAACUACGUG
rnacentral:rRNA from 1 species